AACGAACGCUGGCGGCAGGCUUAACACAUGCAAGUCGAGCGCCCCGCAAGGGGAGCGGCAGACGGGUGAGUAACGCGUGGGAAUCUACCCAUCUCUACGGAAUAACGCAUGGAAACGUGUGCUAAUACCGUAUACGUCCUUCGGGAGAAAGAUUUAUCGGAGAUGGAUGAGCCCGCGUUGGAUUAGCUAGUUGGUGGGGUAAAGGCCUACCAAGGCGACGAUCCAUAGCUGGUCUGAGAGGAUGACCAGCCACACUGGGACUGAGACACGGCCCAGACUCCUACGGGAGGCAGCAGUGGGAAAUAUUGGACAAUGGGCGCAAGCCUGAUCCAGCCAUGCCGCGUGAGUGAUGAAGGCCCUAGGGUUGUAAAGCUCUUUCACCGGUGAAGAUAAUGACGGUAACCGGAGAAGAAGCCCCGGCUAACUUCGUGCCAGCCGCCGCAGUAAAAC
rnacentral:rRNA from 1 species